rnacentral:lncRNA from 1 species
GACACAGGAGCUGUGUGUUUGCAGGUAGUGCAAGAUCUCUUGGCAGCGUUGCCUGCACACUUAAAAGGUUCUCCAGGACAAGGAUGUGCCUUCCCUCACGUGAGAUGAUAAGGCUGCAAGAGGAGUUCUUGGACUUAAUGCUCAUUAGAAGAAGAGUUAACUGGCUGGGCUGGGACAGGGGCACUCUGCGGGGUAAGGAACUGGCUGUAGGGCCAGACAGAAUGGUGGGGAAUGGAGUUACAUCCAGCUGACAACAGGUGACGAGUGGUGUUCCCCAGGGGUCAGUACUGGGGCCUGUCCUGCUCAGUAUCUUUACUGAUGACCUGGAUAAGGGCAUUGAGUGCACCCUCAGUAAGUUUGCAGAUGACACCAUGCUGGGAGGGAGUGCUGAUCUGCUGGGAAGUAGGAAGGCCCUACAGAGAGAUAGGCUGCAUCAGUGCUGACAGCACUGAGCUGUGAUGUCACCAAGUGAUGGCAUGUGAUGUCACCAGGUGAUGGACUGUGACCUCAUGGCCUAAGCUGCAUAUACUGGGGUAUGCAGAGGUUGUCCCAGCCUGGCUCUUUCCUGGACUCUGGCUGAGCAUUUCUGCAUGGUGCCCAAACCCACACACAGUGCUCAAGCUGAGGCAGGUGGGUCCUGCCCUGCUGCAAGCUGCAGGGAAGAUGAGAAUACAGAUUCACUGGCCAGAUGGGCAAAUCUGGCCUCAACGCUUUCUUUUGAACAACAGCAAGGCCUUCAGCCCUUCACUGCUGCUUUCCUGCACAGGUUACAGAGCACAGAGGUGACAGGAGCCAGCUGCUGGCUCGACAGAGGAAAAGCGAGCAAGGAGGACCAAUGCUGAGCUUUGCUCCACCUUUCUCUCUGCUAUGGGGUCACGGGGAUGAGGGACACGGAGAGAAAGAGGACAAGUGCCGAUUGCCAGCGCAUUGACCAAAGCACAGAUGAGGCACAAG